AGGGAAGCUCAUGUCUCUCUCCUACAUAGAUCUCAACUGUAGUUUGCUGACCUCGUCAUUCUAAAGUGGCAAGUGUCACCCAGUUUUCUCCCCAUCUUAAUGGCAUCACAGGCCCCACUGGUCCCGCUGUGUACACGUGCUGACGUAGCCACGAGGGGGCGCUGAGAGGAACCGCCACCAGUUUAAAAGGCACACUGUGCUCAAGCACAGCUUUGCAGUUCUAGGCGAUUUAGCAAAGUGUCACCGGGUCCUCAGCUCUGAAUCUGUCUGGUACUCACCUAAGGCCAGUGCCGUCCUAGCCCCAAGGGCUGCCCGGAUCGUUUCACCCUGACCAGAGAUGCAAUGAUGCUCCUCUAGUGGGUGCCCCGCCUUCCUUUCUUUCUAUGGUUGCAACUUCCCAAUGACUUGUGGCCUGUGCUACGCGGGGGUUGGGGAGCAUGAAAGAGAGGGACAAGGACGGAAGAAGCAGAACAGAGCCCUGGCUUAGCACAGGAAGGAAGGAAAGGGGAGCAGGCCCUGGCUUCACUCCUGCUCUAAGUCAUUUGCACACCGCGUUUGCGUCCUAUCUCUCAGCUCUGAGACACCAAUCCACAUCGUAGCAGCCCGAACACACCGCAAAAUCCUGUCCUCUGCGACCAGCCUGGCCCGAGGCUCGCUGACACAUCGCGGCUCCACGACCCUCAGGUCUGCCACGUUUUCAGGUGAGCUGGGGCCGAAAGGGUUUCAACACCUGGCUACAGACACACCCGAGGCUCCAUCAUCUCCUGUUCCUGCACACGAUGAAGGGAAUUUAAUCGAGCUAGCCCUUAGCUAGCCCUUGCGUUUGAGCAAUUUCAGUGCGUUUUAGCUCAUUGAACUUCUGAGAUUCUAUUGAAACCAGCAGAGGCCGCUGCUGUCUCCUUAAUUGAGACCAAAAGAGCUGAGUUUGGAUCGCAGCGCCCCAGGUGGCUCCUCCCCGGGUCAC